rnacentral:lncRNA from 1 species
UAUAUGUAUCCCGCAGUUACAUUAUUCCUUAUAUAUGUUACCAUUUAUAUUUUGUUUUGAACCGUUUAUUUUAAACCAUUUAUUUUAAACAAACCGCAGUUAAACCGUAUCGCAUUAUGCAUUCCACUUGACCUCAUCGCUCAACCCGUUUUUACCAUUCGGAGCUUUAUUUAUUUAAUUUUAACAAAAACAAAAGCAACAAAAAUUUGGCUGAUUGGUGAACAGUUUUUUGUCCUGCAGUGCGUUCUCCUCGGACCACUAUAAACAUUCACAACCGUUCUCCUCGGACCACUAUAAACAUUCAAAACAUUAUUUCGCUUUAGGGAAUCAGUGUACCAUGUCUUAGCUUUAUUGGCAAUGUUACCGUUGUAGUGUUAUUCUGACAUGAGUAUCAUGAUGAUAAUCCUUUUCCUUCGGUAUGUU